CGAUCAUACGCCAAACGAAUGUUUGUUUAUAGAAAACAUAUCCAUUACAGUAGCCCCUGGCCAUGUAGCAACGUCUAAAUAAACAAUUCGGAGCGGAGCUAAAAUUCUCAGAAGCUAAAAACGAAACGCAAAAACUUUCAGUCGCUGACUCAAGGCGGAGGGAGGGAGGGUAACUGCAACUGACCAACAAAAAAAACAGCUGGAUUCAAAAUAGAUUUUGUGGGACUUUUAAUGCUACUUCAUUUGGUGCCCGACCGUCAAGCCAUGCAGAGCAGAGUGGGAAUGUUGAGGGAGUUUAGCUCCUACCAUGAUCUAAGCGAACAUUUUCGCAUGUAUAGAUCUCAGUCCAUUGAUACCCUAGACAAUGGCAUUGAUAUGAACCCGAGUACCGGCGAUGGAGUGUCCAGAGAUGGCAUCGACGACUGCUACACAACCUGCUCCCAGUCGCACUCCGGUUUGCUGCGUGAGCAUAACUUCAAGGUGAAGAACAAUUACUUCCACGUGGGGAAUUGUGUGCACUGCGAGAAAAGGAUUGGCUUUGGAACGGCCAGCUUGCGUUGCCGGGCUUGUCCGCUGCGCUGCCACAUCGGCUGCUCUCGCCAGUUGACAAUCAACUGUAUUCCCCAGCCGCAGAUGAGCAGUAAGCGUGGAAGCCUCAGUGAUUAUGCACCCACGGUGGCGCCCAUGGUGCCGGCUUUGAUAGUCCAUUGUGUGACGGAGAUCGAGGAGCGUGGACUGCAGCAGGAGGGACUCUAUCGGCUGUCCUCGACGCGGGAGAAGUGCAAGCAGUUGCGGCAGAAGCUGCUGCGUGGCAAGUGGACACCGCAUCUGGGUAGCAGGGACACAAACACCCUGUGCUGCUGCAUCAAGGAGUUCCUCCGCCGUCUGGUGCAUCCCCUGAUACCCAUUUACCACAGGCGCGACUUUGAGAGGGCCACCAGCCACAGCAAUCCGUCAGACGUGGAGGAGCAUGUCUAUCGUGUAAUUCAGAUGCUACAGCAGGCUCACCGUGACACGCUGGCCUACCUCAUGCUGCACUGGAAGCGUGUGGCAGAUAGUCCGAAUGCCCGAAUGUCCAUCAACAAUCUGGCCCUAAUAUUGGCCCCAACUCUGUUCGGGGAUCUCGACUUGACGGUCGAGAAUAUCACAACCUGGACAAAGGUACUGAAGGAGCUGCUCCUGCUGCCGCAUGUGUUUUGGGUUCAGUUUCUGGAGGUGCAACCUGCACCUUUGUCCAGCGAUUACCCGGACGAUGAUCGGUAUGGGCACAGGCAAUGGGAUCAUCAUGGCCACAGGCGCUGGAGCACUGUUAAAACCUAUUUUAGAUCUAUGGUAAAUCUCUCCACAAUCAGAUGAAUCAUGUUUUGUUUAUUUUUUAUUUGUUUAUUUUAUCGAGUUAAGUUCGUUCAUCAUUGGAAGAUUAAAGGAAAAACCGUGAAGCGAAGUACAAAAUUAAUAAUUUCCAUUUGGCCAUGCGAGUAUUUAUGUUUAUGUGAAGCGUAAACCAAAACACAAAGAAAAAUAUUAUGCCAGCGUUGGGUGAAUGGACCACCGAUUCUAUAUUGAAAGAACUGAAGGCGGUAAGAAAAAAGUUAGUUUGGCGUUUUAAAAACAAUUUGCUGAGUGCUGGUAAAAAAUUUGUGUGUGUGGCCAUUAAAUGCAAAAAACAAGCAAAGCAAAACAAAGCACUCGAAUGCGUUGGAGGAGUGCAUAAAUAGACCCAUACGCACACUUAUAUAGUACACACUCACGCACACCACUAUACGCGUAUACAGGGGUAAAAAAGAAUGUAUAAUAAUAUCAAAAAUAAACCUAAAGCGAGACGGCGACAGAGUGCAAUGCGAUUCUGUUGCUAACCGCUAAAAACGGGGCUGCAGUUGCAGUUGUUCCAUCUGCCACGUUGUUAACGUUAACCAAAUGCUAAUGCCACACACACGCAAACGCACACACUG